rnacentral:lncRNA from 1 species
AUAAAUACAAUUCGCUGUCCAGACCUUCUGGAAAGUUGAGUAUCCUCAGAAAUGGGGCAGUCAAGGGGGCAAUUUGCAAGAUACCGACGCGCUGGUUCCUUGGCUCCAGGACACUUAAUCGUUUUACAGGCUUGGUGUAAAGUUGUGUUUAUCUGCGAUGGUGCCAGCAAUGUGGAAAGCCCUGUGCAGACGAGGCUUUUGCGAUGACAGCUGGUUUCAGCAUCGCUCUCAAGCAGACGCAAGGGACAAGGCUCUGGACAUGGGAGGCGCACGUUUGCAGAUGAGCUGCUACUCAUAACAGCAAGAAACAUUUUCUUUCCCAAGCAGGGCAGGAAGCAUGCGUAAUGAGGAGCAGGGGAGGACAACUGGGCUCCUACAGCUGGUCAGGCAAAUUUGUGUGAAUUAUGUGGCAGUUUGCCAAAAGUGGACCAACGAGGCGGGGGAAAGAAAAGGAAAAAAAAACCUCGAAGGUGGCCAGUCCCUGGGUUGGAUCUGUCCGAUUUCAAACCUGCCAUGGAGGAGACCAGCGGGUCAGUGUUUCGGAGAGGCACCAAAGCAGUGGGCAAGUCGCUGCCAUUCGACAUGUUUCGGGAGCCCUUCUGCUGCUCAUCCUUAUGCAGCUCCCCUCUCCCCCUCCCCAGAGCUUUUUCACUUAACGCCUGUGCAUCGUGGGGAGCAGGGGCACCGCCAAAUGCAGCAAAGCCUUCUGGAGAGGCUCUCCGACAGAGAAACGCUGUUUGCCAUAGACGGCAGUUAUGGGCGGUGGUGUCCAGUGGAAACAGCCCCGCACCGUCUCCCUGGCCUCCUCAUCGCCUCGCAGCGGCAUCGCAACCCCUCAGGCCCUGAAAGCUCGCGGGAGCCAGCG